ACUAGAUAACAACCUCUUCUUCAGCUGUGAUUGCGUACAGCCCGUUUAAACACUUCAAAGACUUUUGAAACUGCAUUUGGACUUAAAAACGAUGGUAACCAAUGAAGUCCAUUGUUAGAUGAAAAAUCCAGAAAUGUUUUCUUCAAAAAACAUAAUUUCUCUCGCACUGAGGAAAGAAAGACAUGGAUAUCUUGGAUGGCAUUGGGGUUGGGACCAACAUGGUUGAAUAUUUAAUCCAUGAGAUGACUGGAGCAUUGCUGCACAUUCUGUGCCUCAGUGAUGAGACAAGGGGGACAUCACAGACCUUUGCCAUUAUUCCAGGCCACGCCAUUGAGACUGAGUCUUUGUUGGAGGCAGUUGAUCUUUGCUUUAAAGCUUUUUUUGUUUUUGAUGUUCAGUACACCAAGCAGUGUCUCCCCACCUGGGAGUUUCUCCAGCAUGCUGUGUAUCAAAUUGAAGGAAAAGAGUCCUCCUCUGUAAAGUUUUUGAGGACAACAAAUGUAUUCAAUAUUGUAUACAAACAAAGUAUUAAAGAAAUGUAUUGUUUUUAAAGAAAUAAUAUGUUUUAAAUUAAAUGAGAUUGAAAUCACAUAUACAUGGCCUCUCUGGUUUAUUGUAUUACAGAG